rnacentral:misc_RNA from 1 species
GGAAGUAAGAGUCGUAACAAGGUCUCCGUUGGUGAACCAGCGGAGGGAUCAUUACCGAGUUUACAACUCCCAAACCCCUGUGAACAUACCUAUCGUUGCCUCGGCGGUGCCCGCUCCGGCGGCCCGCCAGAGGACCCCCAAACUCUUGUUUUAUACAGUAUCUUCUGAGUAACACGAUUAAAUAAAUCAAAACUUUCAACAACGGAUCUCUUGGUUCAG